rnacentral:rRNA from 1 species
UGGGGAAUAUUGGACAAUGGGCGAAAGCCUGAUCCAGCCAUGCCGCGUGAGUGAUGAAGGCCUUAGGGUUGUAAAGCUCUUUCAGUGGGGAAGAUAAUGACGGUACCCACAGAAGAAGCCCCGGCUAACUUCGUGCCAGCAGCCGCGGUAAUACGAAGGGGGCUAGCGUUGUUCGGAUUUACUGGGCGUAAAGCGCACGUAGGCGGAUCGUUAAGUCGGGGUGAAAUCCUGGAGCUCAACUCCAGAACUGCCUUCGAUACUGGCGAUCUUGAGUCCGGAAGAGGUGAGUGGAACUCCUAGUGUAGAGGUGGAAUUCGUAGAUAUUAGGAAGAACACCAGUGGCGAAGGCGGCUCACUGGUCCGGUACUGACGCUGAGGUGCGAAAGCGUGGGGAGCAAACAG